GGCGGCGUGCUUAACACAUGCAAGUCGAACGAUGAACCACUUCGGUGGGGAUUAGUGGCGAACGGGUGAGUAACACGUGGGCAAUCUGCCCUGCACUCUGGGACAAGCCCUGGAAACGGGGUCUAAUACCGGAUACUGACCCGCUUGGGCAUCCAAGCGGUUCGAAAGCUCCGGCGGUGCAGGAUGAGCCCGCGGCCUAUCAGCUUGUUGGUGAGGUAAUGGCUCACCAAGGCGACGACGGGUAGCCGGCCUGAGAGGGCGACCGGCCACACUGGGACUGAGACACGGCCCAGACUCCUACGGGAGGCAGCAGUGGGGAAUAUUGCACAAUGGGCGAAAGCCUGAUGCAGCGACGCCGCGUGAGGGAUGACGGCCUUCGGGUUGUAAACCUCUUUCAGCAGGGAAGAAGCGAAAGUGACGGUACCUGCAGAAGAAGCGCCGGCUAACUACGUGCCAGCAGCCGCGGUAAUACGUAGGGCGCGAGCGUUGUCCGGAAUUAUUGGGCGUAAAGAGCUCGUAGGCGGCUUGUCACGUCGGUUGUGAAAGCCCGGGGCUUAACCCCGGGUCUGCAGUCGAUACGGGCAGGCUAGAGUUCGGUAGGGGAGAUCGGAAUUCCUGGUGUAGCGGUGAAAUGCGCAGAUAUCAGGAGGAACACCGGUGGCGAAGGCGGAUCUCUGGGCCGAUACUGACGCUGAGGAGCGAAAGCGUGGGGAGCGAACAGGAUUAGAUACCCUGGUAGUCCACGCCGUAAACGGUGGGCACUAGGUGUGGGCGACAUUCCACGUCGUCCGUGCCGCAGCUAACGCAUUAAGUGCCCCGCCUGGGGAGUA
rnacentral:rRNA from 1 species